GAGAUUCUUGUUUUUCGAAAAUUCUUCUAACAUGAAAGUAGAGAGAGACAAGUGGAAAUAAACAUGAAAGAGUUAUAGCAACUUCAUAUUAAGGGUAAACCUCAAUUAGAGACCUUAAACCCAGUAUGAGAGUAAUCUUAUAGUCAUUGAAACCAGCUGUAGAAAAUAGCAUACCUCAUUUAUCUUCCCGCCUCUCUUUUCCAUUGAUCACCAUCAUCAUCAACGUGCUAUGAAGUUUGGACACAGACAGGUAAUAUAUGUACGAUAUGAUAGGGACACGACGAUACAAUAAUUUUUAAAAAAUGAGGACACGAAUAUGAUAAGAUAUGAUAAUAAAAAAUAUUUUUAAUGUUAUAAGUGUUGAUGUGAAUUGGUAAAUGUUAGUUAUAAUGACAACUUGAUGAAAGUGAUUAUAUUUGGCUAUUUUGAUGGAGCUUUGAUUAUGAAAAUGUGGUUGAUGUCAUAUGUUCUCUUAACUUGAUUAUUUGAAUGAUUAAUAUUUGUUUGAGGUGCCUUUGAAUGGCAUAUUGGUUAGGUAUAGGAUGGAUGAAUUUUUGGCAUGUAAUUGAUUAUUUGAAUGUGAUUUUGAGCUUAGGAAUGGAUCUAGAUAUGAUAUGAAUUGUUACUCAACGAAUGAUGUAUGAAAUGGCUUGAAUUAGGGGUUAAAUAUGCUACACACAGCCUAGGACACAGGCUGUCACAUGGUCGCGUGACACACAUGGUCCACUCACACAACCGUGUGUUUUAUUGUCUUUAGGUGCAGGUUUCACACGACCUGACACACGGCUUGCGACAUGGCCAUGUGACCUUAAUUCGAAUAUCCACACGGGCGAACACACAGGUUGGGACAUGGCCAUGUGUCUGUAUUUCAAACGACCACACAUGGAUAUUAUGUUAGGACUUCAGUAAUCUAUGAUAGUAGAACUUUGGAAGGUUAUGAACUAACUAAUCUUUGUGAUGGAUAUUUUGUGAAGCAUGGUUUAGUAUUAUUGUGUUACUUGUGUGGUAUGUGAGUAUCAACGAUGUAACUCUCUAAACUUGGGUUGGACUUCUAGGCUGGGUUUGGGGUGUCACAUAUCAUCUUUGAAAUUCCGUUGCAAACUUAGGUAUCACAUUAUGUGCUAUUCCGAAAAAUAAAUAAUAUUUGUGUGUGGUUUUCUAAAAGAAAAACAUGUAAGAGUUUUGUCAAAAAUAAUAUUUUCAGCUCUUACAACUUCCAAAGCUAGCUUUGAUUUGGGUUUUCAAAUGGGAAGUGUAAUACCUCCAGGUCUGGCAUAUUGUCUAGGUCAAGUUUGGGGUGUUACAAGCUAAUUUGAGCUACAAUGUGUGAAGAUCUUUUGAGGAUGAAAACGUGAUUAAUCUUCAAAAUUAAAAAGAGAUUUUAUGUUUGGAGAGCAUAGAAAUAAAAAAAAGGAAUGAAUUAAUUUCGGAAGAAAAGUAUUAAUUUGGUGUUUGGCAAAUUUUUGAAAGAGAUAUGAAGGGAAGGAAUGGUGGGGUUGCUAAAUAGGCAACCAAUUUUUAAAAAUUGGGUCAUUGCCCAUUUAACCACCUCCAGUUUCCUUCGUUUCCAAGUAAGUUCUUGCUUUACAAGUAAAACCAAUUUAAAAAUUAUAUUUAAAUCAAACCUCAUUUUUAAAUAUGUUUUAACCAAAUUAAUUCUCGGACACCUAAUUUAAUUUCUUAACCUAAAUUUUAAAUUCUUCUUCUGUAUGUGUAACUUUUGGAAGCAUGUUUUAAUUUCUAAUGUGUAAAGCAUGUAUGAUUUGUAUGCAUCUGGAUGUAUAUGGAUAGUGAUUGCAUGUGCAUUGGGUGGGAUUAUGAUGUGAUGAAGGAAGUGUUGGCAGUUUAAUGAUCUAUCUUAUCCGGUGGUUUUAACCACAUAUUUGUUCUGGUGGUUUGACCACACUUAUCCUGUUCUAGCAUAUUACUUCAUUAUUUUUGGCAGCUUGACUACACUAUUCUGAAAAGUGAGAUACGCUCACUAUAUUGGUGUGUGGGGUUGGAUGGGUAUUUAUUACCCUAACUGGUGUGUAGGGAUGGACGAAGAUAGUGUGUAGUGGAUGGAGGUAGGAUUUGUAUUUUUAUUUGUAAUUGAUCUGUCUACCGUAUUGCAUUGCGAGAUAUGCCAUGCUUUCGUAUUUAUCCGAUUUCUAAUUUCUGUGUAAAUUUGCUAUCUAAUUUCUUUAUAUGGGGCUAAGUUACACACUGAGCUUUUUAGUUCACCUUAUAUUUUUAUCUUAUCAGGUAAUCAGCAAACAUAGGAUCAGGUGGCAUGCGGGAUGUAACACUCCAAAACUAGCCUAGACGUUAUGGCUGAAUCUGGGAGUGCUAUGAAGAAAAGUAUUCAAAACAAUCUUGUUAUGUUAAAAUGACUAAAAUGGAAUCCACAUUUUAUCAAACAUAUUAUUAUUAUCGUUAAGGAAAAUAUUGUUAAUUUGCUCUUUCAAAAACCUUAUUUUGCAGUUAAAGUUUGAUAUAGUUAAAGUUGAAAA
rnacentral:lncRNA from 1 species